rnacentral:rRNA from 1 species
GAUGAACGCUGGCGGCGUGCCUAAUACAUGCAAGUCGAGCGAACAGACGAGGAGCUUGCUCCUCUGACGUUAGCGGCGGACGGGUGAGUAACACGUGGAUAACCUACCUAUAAGACUGGGAUAACUUCGGGAAACCGGAGCUAAUACCGGAUAAUAUAUUGAACCGCAUGGUUCAAUAGUGAAAGACGGUGUUGCUGUCACUAAAAGAUGGAUCCGCGCCGCAUUAGCUAGUUGGUAAGGUAACGGCUUACCAAGGCGACGAUGCGUAGCCGACCUGAGAGGGUGAUCGGCCACACUGGAACUGAGACACGGUCCAGACUCCUACGGGAGGCAGCAGUAGGGAAUCUUCCGCAAUGGGCGAAAGCCUGACGGAGCAACGCCGCGUGAGUGAUGAAGGUCUUCGGAUCGUAAAACUCUGUUAUUAGGGAAGAACAAAUGUGUAAGUAACUAUGCACGUCUUGACGGUACCUAAUCAGAAAGCCACGGCUAACUACGUG